UGUGUUUUUUGUAAGUUCUAUUAAACACAUCAGUUUACAGCAAUGAAUUCACCAUUGUGCAUCGUCAAUAAAAGGAGUGUUUAUGAAAAAUCAAUGAAAUAAUGUAAAAAAUGU
rfam:Yersinia pseudotuberculosis YPIII, complete genome.